rnacentral:rRNA from 1 species
UACGUAGGGCGCAAGCGUUGUCCGGAAUUAUUGGGCGUAAAGAGCUCGUAGGCGGCUUGUCACGUCGGAUGUGAAAGCCCGGGGCUUAACCCCGGGUCUGCAUUCGAUACGGGCAGGCUAGAGUGUGGUAGGGGAGAUCGGAAUUCCUGGUGUAGCGGUGAAAUGCGCAGAUAUCAGGAGGAACACCGGUGGCGAAGGCGGAUCUCUGGGCAUUAACUGACGCUGAGGAGCGAAAGCAUGGGGAGCGAACAGG